GGUCGCAACCUUGAAGGGCGGAGGCGACGGUCCGACAGUGGCAUUAAGGGCCGACAUGGACGCCCUGCCUAUCCACGAGGAGACAGGGCUAUCGUUCGCCUCGGGAGAGGACGGCAAGAUGCAUGCUUGCGGUCACGACGGUCAUACGAGCAUGCUCGUCGGCGCCGCACGCGCCCUCUCGCAAGACCACCUGCGUGAAAGGCUGGGCGGCAGUGUCAAGUUCAUCUUCCAGCCCGCCGAGGAGAAGGGCGGUGGAGGCCAGGUGAUGGUCGA
rnacentral:misc_RNA from 1 species